rnacentral:sRNA from 1 species
UGUCCCCCAGAUCACUGAAGUGUCCUAGUGAGCAAUCAACAGGGGGAAAAGGAAUCAUCAGUCAGCUUAGCCAUGAGUACUGAUGUGUGCGGUAAAUCUAGACCUGGGCGCAUUCUCCUUUUCC